rnacentral:lncRNA from 1 species
UGGUUAAUCCCUUUAAGUAUCAGGUACAAAUAGCAACUACACAGAGAAAGCAUGAGAAUUAGCUUUAUAGCCCAUCCGUUUUCAUAGUGUCUAUAUGUGAAAUAUCUUAAAAACCACUCUGGAAGUUUUUUAGGUGGUAAAAAGGUAUCUUUACUUACAAUUGAUGUCUAUAGUUACAGUCAGUAGAAAAAUAGGAAUAAUCGAUGGGAGAGCCCCCCUCUAUACUUUCUGAAUGCUUGGAGUUCAAUAACAGAUAGACUGACAAACAAAAGAAGCGAAGCAAACAAACAAACAGGAAGAGGAGAGUGGCAAGUCAGAGGUGGGGAAAUAACUUUACCAAUAGUUUAAUGUGAAAGGAGAAUCCCCGUAGGUCUUAAAAGCCCCCUUACCACUGAUACCAAAUGUCAGAAAGUAUACAAGAUUGUUAUUAUCUCAACACAUCACCCCAGUUAUGAGCCAUCUCUGAAGUAAAUCUAUUUUCCCUGUACUCUGGUAAUUGCUUACAGUGAUUUUGAGUCCAUGGGGAUAUUUACAGUUCUCUUAAUAUAGGUCUGUCCAUUCUGUGCAGCAAUAUGUCUUCAGAAGUGCAAGAACCGGGGGGAAUGUAUUGGGCCAAAUACUUGUCAUUGCCCUCCAGGAUGGGAAGGAGUCCAGUGUCAAACAGCUGUGUGCAGCCGGAAAUGUCUGUAUGGCGGAAUAUGUAUAUUGCCAAAUGUUUGUGCUUGUCGUCCUGGCUAUGGUGGAGUCACUUGCAGCAAAAAAAGUCUGGUACGUCACACCUGAAGAACAAAUCCGAACUCCUUGGAUUGCGUAAGCAUGCUGCACAGAUUACAUGGUUCUUAGAUGCAGAAAGGUUCUGUUGA